rnacentral:rRNA from 1 species
UUGAACGCUGGCGGCAUGCCUUACACAUGCAAGUCGAACGGCAGCACGGGAGCAAUCCUGGUGGCGAGUGGCGAACGGGUGAGUAAUAUAUCGGAACGUGCCCAGUCGUGGGGGAUAACGCAGCGAAAGCUGUGCUAAUACCGCAUACGAUCUACGGAUGAAAGCGGGGGAUCGCAAGACCUCGCGCGAUUGGAACGGCCGAUAUCAGAUUAGCUAGUUGGUGGGGUAAAAGCCCACCAAGGCGACGAUCUGUAGCUGGUCUGAGGGGACGACCAGCCACACUGGAACUGAGACACGGUCCAGACUCCUACGGGAGGCAGCAGUGGGGAAUUUUGGACAAUGGGCGAAAGCCUGAUCCAGCCAUGCCGCGUGCAGGAUGAAGGCCUUCGGGUUGUAAACUGCUUUUGUACGGAACGAAAAGACUCCUUCUAAUAAAGGGGGUCCAUGACGGUACCGUAAGAAUAAGCACCGGCUAACUACGU